rnacentral:misc_RNA from 1 species
GAUGAAGAACGUAGCGAAAUGUGAUACGUAAUGUGAAUUGCAGAUUUCAGUGAAUCAUCGAAUCUUUGAACGCACAUUGCGCCCGCUAGUAUUCUGGCGGGCAUGCCUGUUCGAGCGUCAUUUCAACCAUCAAGCCCUAGGCUUGCGUUGGAGCCCUGCGGCUGCCGCAGGCUCCCAAAUCCAGUGGCGGGCUCGUCGUCGUACCGAGUGCAGUAAACAUCCUCGCUCAGGGAACGUGACGGGUUCUUGCCGUGAAACCCCCCACAUAUCAAGGUUGACCUCGGAUCAGGUAGGAAUACCCGCUGAACUUAAGCAUAUCAAUAAGCGGAGGA